rnacentral:tRNA from 1 species
GGCUUUCUGGCUGAUAUUAAAGCGUUUAUUUUGAAAAUAAAAGGAUAAGUUUUAUACAACUUAGAAAGCUU